GUCAAUAACGGACGUUACUUUGAAUUAGUCUUAAUGACUAUUUGUGGCUGUUCCUAUGUUAAGCCAACAAUAUCUUCAGAUAUAACAUUGUGUAAAAAAAUAUAGCAAAUUCAAAUAAAUAAAAUAAGUAUAUUCAGUCUGAAUUUCAGACAGAAAUAAAUUAUUAUCUGUCUAAACUAUUUACCUCCCCUUUGUAAAUCGCUCAGUGUAAGAUGGUAUGAAUAAAGAUAUCUUAAACUUCAGAGGAUAUUGAUAUGAUGGGGUUGGAGCAAUCGAUGGUCACACUAAAAGUUUUUCCUCUUGUAUUUUAAAUCUGAAUGUAAAAGCUAAAUAUGAUCAUCGCAACAGUCAUAAGCUUAAACAACAAGUCAAACAAAAGUUAGAAGAGCAUAUUGAAAAUUCAGGUGGAAAAAGUAAAUGGUUUAAUUUUUUAGAACUUUGUACUAGUUUAUGAGCUUGAUUUAUGAUGGCUUACUGGUUAAAUUUAAAAAUGGUGACUACUAGAUUUUCAUUAACAUCAAAUUAAUGUGUUCUCAUUUUCUUUGCUUUUGCACGUGAAAAAUUAUAUGCAAAGCAUCUUGGUACCUAAAAAUUAUAUGCAAAGCAUCUUGGUACCUGAAAAGUUAUGUGCAAAGCAUCUUGGUACCUGAAAAAUUAUAUGCAAAGCAUCUUGGUACCUGAAAAAUUAUAUGCAAAGCAUCUUGGUACACCUAAAUGGUUUAGCUUUAAUUUAUAUUUGUACAAAGUUGGUUAUAGAUAUAAAAAAAACUCACCGAUAAAUUUGAUACUUGUAAUCGUAAUUAUAUUGUUUUAACUUUUAAACAAAAUUAAAAUAUAUAUAAUAAAAAGUAAUAAUAAUGAUAAUUUUAAAUUUGAUAUAAAGUAAAAAUCAUAGUAAAAAAGUCAUUUUUUGUCACUAGUAAAAAAAAUUAUUUUUGUAGCUUUUGCAUCCUUAUAAAACAUUAUUUGAUCAGAGUACAUUGUAUUUUUAAGUUAGGUCAGGAUAUGUCAUUGUUUGUGUCACCAACAACACUAACUUACUGUUAUCAUUCAUUAUAUUAAAAUGGUGUGUUCUUAUUAUUCUAUUG